rnacentral:rRNA from 1 species
GACGAACGCUGGCGGCGUGCCUAAUACAUGCAAGUAGAACGCUGAAGGAGGAGCUUGCUUCUCUGGAUGAGUUGCGAACGGGUGAGUAACGCGUAGGUAACCUGCCUGGUAGCGGGGGAUAACUAUUGGAAACGAUAGCUAAUACCGCAUAACAGUAGAUAUCGCAUGAUAUCUACUUGAAAGGUGCAAUUGCAUCACUACCAGAUGGACCUGCGUUGUAUUAGCUAGUUGGUGAGGUAACGGCUCACCAAGGCGACGAUACAUAGCCGACCUGAGAGGGUGAUCGGCCACACUGGGACUGAGACACAGCCCAGACUCCUACGGGAGGCAGCAGUAGGGAAUCUUCGGCAAUGGACGGAAGUCUGACCGAGCAACGCCGCGUGAGUGAAGAAGGUUUUCGGAUCGUAAAGCUCUGUUGUAAGAGAAGAACGAGUGUGAGAGUGGAAAGUUCACACUGUGACGGUAUCUUACCAGAAAGGGACGGCUAACUACGUG